rnacentral:rRNA from 1 species
AUUGAACGCUGGCGGCAUGCCUUACACAUGCAAGUCGAACGGCAGCGCGGACUUCGGUCUGGCGGCGAGUGGCGAACGGGUGAGUAAUACAUCGGAACGUACCCUGUUGUGGGGGAUAACUAGUCGAAAGAUUAGCUAAUACCGCAUACGACCUGAGGGUGAAAGUGGGGGACCGCAAGGCCUCACGCAGCAGGAGCGGCCGAUGUCUGAUUAGCUAGUUGGUGGGGUAAAGGCCCACCAAGGCGACGAUCAGUAGCUGGUCUGAGAGGACGAUCAGCCACACUAGGACUGAGACACGGCCCAGACUCCUACGGGAGGCAGCAGUGGGGAAUUUUGGACAAUGGGGGCAACCCUGAUCCAGCAAUGCCGCGUGUGUGAAGAAGGCCUUCGGGUUGUAAAGCACUUUUGUCCGGAAAGAAAUCGCGCUGGUUAAUACCUGGCGUGGAUGACGGUACCGGAAGAAUAAGCACCGGCUAACUACGUG